rnacentral:rRNA from 1 species
UUCRGCGUCGGAUGGGUUUGUUAUGCCUAGGAAUCUGCCUUUAGUUGGUACAACGKUUCGAAAGGAAGGWUAAUAUYGCAUACGCCUACGGGAGAAAGCAGUGGACCUUCGGSCCUUGCCYAUUCAUAUGAGUUUUUGUCGGUUAGCUAGUUGGUGAGGUAAUGGCUCACCAAGGCGACGAUCCGUAACUGGYCUGAGAGGAUGAUCAGUCACACUGUAACUGAGACACGGUCCAGACUCCUACGGGAGGCAGCAGUGAUGUAUAUUGUAUUAUGUUCGAAAUUUWUCCCAGCAUUCCCGGUUUGURGAGAAGUCUUGGGUGUGUUAAGCUCUUUAAGUUGGGWGGAA